CGAUCCCGCCCACCGACGAGAAGACCGCCACCCGAGGUUCGGGUGGCGGUCUUCUCGUCGGUGGGCGACCCGG
rnacentral:pre_miRNA from 1 species